rnacentral:tRNA from 1 species
GGGGGUGUAGCUCAGUGGUAAAGUGCCUGCUUGGCAUGAGUGAGGCCUUGGAUUCAAUCCCCAGUACCUCCA